GGUAGUAAAAGUCGUAACAAGGUUUCCGUAGGUGAACCUGCGGAAGGAUCAUUAUUGUAUAACCGAGGUGCGAGGGCUGUCGCUGACCCGAAAGGUCGUGCACGCCCGAGUGCCCUCACACACAUCCAUCUCACCCCUAUGUGCACCACCGCGUGGGUCCCCCUUUGGCUUGUUCGGAGGGGGGCUUACGUUUUCACACAAACUUUGUAUGCAGUGUAGAAUGUAUUUUUUGUUUUUGCGAUCACGCAAUCAAUACAACUUUCAACAACGGAUCUCUAGGCUCUC
rnacentral:misc_RNA from 1 species